rnacentral:rRNA from 1 species
UAAAAUUAUUUUAAAUAUUAUAUUAGAAAUGAAAUGUUAUUCGUUUUUAAAGGUAUCUAGUUUUUUAAGAAAUAAAUUUAAUUUAUAAAUUUUUAAUUAUUUAAUUUAAUAUAUUAAUUAAAUAAUUUAUUAAUUUAAAUAUUUUAUGGGAUAAGCUAUAAAAUAAAUUUUUAAAAAUGUAUAAAUAAUUAUAAUAAAUAUAAAUUUAAAAAUAGUUAUUAUUAAUGAAAAUGUUAUAAUUUAUUUUAUAAUAUAAAUUAUUUAUUAAAAUUUUAAGUUUUUAUUAAAAUAUUUAUUUUAAUUAAUAAAAUAAAUUAUUAAUGAUAAAAUUAGUAUAUUAUUUUGUAUAAGUAAUUAUAAAUGAAAAGUUUAUAUAAAGAACUCGGCAAUAAUAAUAUUUGCCUGUUUAACAAAAACAUGUCUUUAUGAAUUUUUUUUAAAGUCUAACCUGCCCACUGAUUUUUAUUAAAUGGCCGCAGUAUAUUAACUGUGCAAAGGUAGCAUAAUCAUUAGUCUUUUAAUUGAAGGCUAGAAUGAAUGGUUGGACAAAAUAUUAACUGUUUCAUAUAAAUUUAUUAUAGAAUUUUAUUUUUUAGUUAAAAAGCUAAAAUUUUUUUAAAAGACGAGAAGACCCUAUAAAUCUUUAUAUUUAAUUUAUAAUAAAUUUUUAUAAAUUUUUAUUUAUUAUAAUUUAUAAUAUUUUAUUGGGGUGAUAUUAAAAUUUAAUAAACUUUUAAUUUUUUUUUCAUUAAUUUAUGAAUUAUUGAUCCGUUAUUAACGAUUAAAAAAACAAGUUACUUUAGGGAUAACAGCGUAAUUUUUUUGGAGAGUUCAUAUUAAUAAAAAAGAUUGCGACCUCGAUGUUGGAUUAAGAUAUAAUUUUAGGUGUAGAUGCUUAAAUUUUAAGUCUGU